GAAAUACGCGUGCCUUUAAUUUUCAGUAGUGCAGGAAUCAUGGCUGAAGCACAAGCAUUCAAUUUUCUCCUCCUCCUCCUGUUGACUUACGCAAUGAUUAUGGCUGUCCAAUGUGCUCCUAAAGAAGAAACAUCUCCAAGCGGUGGAGUUAGAGAGGAACGCAUCUGGAGGAAUGUCAUAGGUGCAGUUAGAGGAGCGAUCCAAGGCUGGGGUCGAUAAUAAAUGAUGGUUCAAGCUGAUGGAGAAAAAUUAUUUGGCUCUUUAUGAUUCUUAAAUAAAUUAAUACAGCAAAUA